rnacentral:rRNA from 1 species
AUUGACGGACUGAAGGCUCUUUCUCGAUUCCGUGGAAAGUGGUGCAUGGCCGUUUUUGGUUGGUGGAUCGAUCCGUCUGGUUAAUUCCGUUAACGAACGAGACCUCGGCACUCCGAAUAGCGCGGCGGACGUCGCGGCCUCCGGGCCGUCUUCCGCACGAGCUUCUUAGAGGGACCGUCCCCCGCCGGGGAAGGAGGUGCGAGGCAACGACAGGUCUGUGAUGCCCUUAGAUGUUCUGGGCCGCACGCGCAUUACACUGACGCGUCCAACGGGUGACUCCCGACCCGAAGGGGCCGGGGAAUCCGCAAGGCGCGUCGUGAUGGGGAUUGAACGUUGCAAUUGUUGUUCACGAACGAGGAAUUCCUAGUAGGCGCGGGUCAUCAACCCGCGCCGAUUACGUCCCUGCCCUUUGUACACACCGCCC